UACAGAGGUGGCAAGCGUUGUUCGGAAUUACUGGGCGUAAAGGGCGCGUAGGCGGCCCGUCAAGUCCCGUGUGAAAGCCCCCGGCUCAACCGGGGAACUGCACGGGAAACUAGCAGGCUUGAGUUCGGGAGAGGGAAGCGGAAUUUCGGGUGUAGCGGUGAAAUGCGCAGAUAUCAGGAGGAACACCGGUGGCGAAGGCGGAUCUCUGGGCCUUACCUGACGCUCAGGUGCGAAAGCUAGGGGAGCGAACAGG
rnacentral:rRNA from 1 species